UCCCUGGUGGUCUAGUGGCUAAGACUCCAUGUUCCCAAUGCAGGAGGCCUGGGUUCAAUCCUUGGCCAGGGAA
rnacentral:tRNA from 1 species